rnacentral:lncRNA from 1 species
CCAUUAACUAUUAAUGGGGCAUUUGUAGUGUUGUAAUAUAGUAAUUUGCCAAUAGGUGUCACUGUUGUAUUGCCAUGUAGUUGUGUCACUACAGUUCUGUUAUUCAUUCUUCUUCUUUGUUUUUUCUUCUUCGUUGGAUAUAAUAAAGAGCACAUGCAACUUCAAUAGGUUAUGGGCCCAGAUCUUCGCUAAAGCAAAAAAGAGGUAGUUUUACACUAAUUUUUUUUGUGAAAUAGACAGUGUUGUGGAACUCACAAUGGAGGAUAAACUGUUUAUUGAAAAGCUGAGUGGGCCAGAGAACUGGGCAACGUGGAAAUUUCAAAUGGAACAUUUGAUGAAAGCUAAAGGACUAUGGGGCAUGGUGAUGGAGACUGACAACGUGGCAGAAGGAGCAAAUGCACAGGCAAGAGCAGAAUUUGAAAAACGGAAAGAAAAAGCAUUUUCUGUGUUGGUGCUGAAUGUGAGUACGUCUCAGUUGUACCUGAUAACAAGCUGUAAGACCCCUAAGGAAGCGUGGGACACGCUAAAAGGACAUUUUGAGAGAGACACUCUUGCAAACAAGCUGUUUCUGAAGAAAAAAUACUUCAGAUGUGAAAUGAAGGAAGGAGAAAACAUAACUGAACAUUUGAAACGAAUGAAGGAGCUAACUGACCAGCUAGGGGCAAUAGGUGCGGUGAUUGAAGAGGAGGACCAGAUUGUAACACUGCUGGGUAGCUUGCCAGCAAGCUAUGCUACAAUUGUUACUGCACUGGAAACUAAGUUGGACAGUUUAACACUGCAGUUUGUUCAGCAAGCAUUAAUAAAUGAAGAACAAAAACGAGUGUCUGCUGAUGGUAACUAUGGCGGUGCUAUGUCCAGUGGUGCUGCGUCUGGAGGCGCAUCAGCAAUGUCAACACAAGUUCGUAGUGAUAUGCAGGCUAACUCCAAGGCAGUGAGAGCUGACAGAUCCGGCUCGUGGAGAUGUUACAAGUGUGGGAAAGAAGGACAUAUCAAGCGUGACUGUCCAAGUAUUUUAAGAACUGUUCACUGAAAGGUUCUUUGGGAAACCAAAAAUGGAUCUUCACUCUUAUAAAGAUUCCAAAAGUAGGUUUUCACAACGAUGCCUCUGAAAAACUA